rnacentral:snoRNA from 1 species
AUGCAUCUCCGACAGACCUAGAGCAGUUCGUGUCUGCUGCUAAGGGUUCCACUACAGAUACAAGAGAAAGAAAGUCUUUGUUCUCUCUGUCUGUCUGAUUGUAGCAGCCAAGAUUGAACGGGGGAAUACAGGA